GUCACGUGUUCUGCCGCUCCUCUCUCUGAUUGGCUAAUCCAUCAUAUCGGGAGAUUUCUUUGAGGGAAAAGUUAAGGCGGGAAAAUUACAUAGAAAAGUAUUGAGUGGAAAAAGCCAAAGAAAGAAAGAAAGAAAAGCAUUGAGUGUUUUGUGAGAAUUUAUUUUGUUAAAUUGGUCGUUUUCUAGUCAUUUCUGGAGUCAUGGCGUCCACCUCGACAGGAAACAGAGAAACCGUUAGAGAAGAAGGUAAAGAAUAAAGCCCCGGCUGAGGUGCAGAUCACAGCUGAGCAGCUGCUACGUGAAGCCAAGGAACUAGAACCGGACUGUCAUCAGCAACAGAAUUAAGUACACAGGAAAGUCUAAAGGAACUACAGAGACGUGCAUCAUCGGAAUGUCACGCUGUGGCUGAAAUAUGCCGAGAUGGAACUGAAGAACCGUCAGGUCAAUCACGCUCGCAACAUCUGGGACAGAGCCAUAACCAUCCUGCCCCGAGUCAACCAGUUCUGGUACAAAUACACUUACAUGGAGGAGAUGCUGGGGAAUGUAGCAGGCUGCAGGCUGGUGUUUGAGCGCUGGAUGGAGUGGAUGCCAGAGGAGCAGGCCUGGCACUUGUACAUUAACUUUGAGCUGUGCUAUAAGGAGGUGGAGAAAGCCCGCUGCAUUUAUGAAAAAUAUAUCCUUACCAGAGUGCUUGUGUUUGGGAUGUGAAACAAUUAUGUGCCUGUUUUUGGAAUGAAUGUGAGCUUUUUUUUUAUGAAACGCUACAGAGUUCUUAUCAGGAUUUCGAGAACUUUAUACAUGAUUCUGGUUCCUGGGAUGUAAGAACUAGGAGUUGCAUCACUGUUCAUGAAGAGGAAUUGAAGAGUCUGCUGAUCAGUAAUUAGAGCGUAAAACAAAAAGAUUCAGUAUGAUCGUGUUCGGGUGAUCUAUAAGUACGCACUGGACCGAAUCCCCAAACAGCAGGCCCAUCAGCUUAUCAACAACUACAUAGUGUUUGAGAGGAAUUUUGGAGACCGGAGAGGAAUCGAGGACGUCAUCAUCAGCAAAAGGAGAUUUCACUACGAGGAGGAGGUUAAGGCAAAUCCACAUAAUAAAGGCUCCUGGUUUGAUUACUUGCGUCUGUACGGAGCGACCCCGAUGUGGACACGGUUCGAGAUGUGUACGAAUGAGCCAUCGCCAACGUUCCCCCCAAUAUUAAAAGAGAACACUGGAGGCGCUACAUUUACCUGUGGAUCAAUUACGCUCUCUACGAGGAGCUGAAAGUCAAG